AACGUAGGUACCGAGCGUUAUCCGGAUUCACUGGGCGUAAAGCGCGUGCAGGUGGUUAGGUAAGUCGGGCAUGAAAACUCUUGGCUCAACUGAGAGAAGCUGUCCGAUACUGCUUAGCUUGAGGACAUGAGAGGGAGGUGGAAUUCCGCGUGUAGUGGUGAAAUGCGUAGAUAUGCGGAGGAACACCAGUGGCGAAAGCGGCCUCCUGGCAUGCUCCUGACACUGAGACGCGAAAGCUAGGGGAGCGAACGGG
rnacentral:rRNA from 1 species